UGGGGGUGACGGAGACUCCAGGAAGAAGUGCGGUGAAGCCGCGGAACGAAGCGUCGGACCGUUCUUUCUCGGAGGGGGCUGAUUAGAGGCAAGGGCAACAUGGUCAUUUUCACUACGAGACCGCCUAGUGAAAAUGUUACCAAAAGAUAGAGCUCGUCGAGACAAAGAAGUGAGCGCUGGUUUCACCUUGAUCGGAGUUACGGUUGAAAAGUUGUGAAGUGUAGAAGAUUAGGGACCAAUCUGUGAAUAAACUUCAGCAAAUAGGCCCCUGGAGAGAAAAACUGAAUGUGCCUUGGGGCCGGAUACGUUUU
rnacentral:lncRNA from 1 species